rnacentral:ncRNA from 2 species
GUUUGCAGGUGUUGUUAUGGCUCCAUCUUCGCCAUAACAGUGAAACGGGAAGCCGGUUAAAGUCCGGCACUGCCCCCGCAACGGUAAGUGAGUGACCAGCGACGAUGGAUGCCACUGUGCAACAGCAUGGGAAGGCGUGCGCCGGUCAGCAGUUUCAGCUCACGAGUCCGGAGACCGGCCUGUAAACACACCGAACG